UACGUAGGGUGCGAGCGUUGUCCGGAUUCAUUGGGCGUAAAGCGCGCGUAGGCGGCUCCGCAAGUCGGCCGUGAAAUCUCCGGGCUCAACUCGGAGGGGUCGGGCGAGACUGCGGGGCUCGAGGUGGGCAGAGGGCAGUGGAAUUCCGGGUGUAGUGGUGGAAUGCGUAGAGAUCCGGAGGAACACCAGUGGCGAAGGCGGCUGCCUGGGCCUGGCCUGACGCUGAGGCGCGAAAGCGUGGGGAGCAAUCCGG
rnacentral:rRNA from 1 species